AUUGAACGCUGGCGGUAGGCUUAACACAUGCAAGCCGAGCGGGGAUAGGGUGCUUGCACCUGAUUCCUAGCGGCGGACGGGUGAGUAAUGCUUAGGAAUCUGCCUAUUAGUGGGGGACAACAUUCCGAAAGGGAUGCUAAUACCGCAUACGCCCUACGGGGGAAAGCAGGGGAUCUUCGGACCUUGCGCUAAUAGAUGAGCCUAAGUCGGAUUAGCUAGUUGGUGGGGUAAAGGCCUACCAAGGCGACGAUCUGUAGCGGGUCUGAGAGGAUGAUCCGCCACACUGGGACUGAGACACGGCCCAGACUCCUACGGGAGGCAGCAGUGGGGAAUAUUGGACAAUGGGGGGAACCCUGAUCCAGCCAUGCCGCGUGUGUGAAGAAGGCCUUUUGGCUGUAAAGCACUUUAAGCGAGGAGGAGGCGCUCUAGGUUAAUACCCUAGAUGCGUGGACGUUACUCGCAGAAUAAGCACCGGCUAACUCUGUGCCAGCCGCCGCAGUAACAC
rnacentral:rRNA from 1 species